rnacentral:rRNA from 1 species
ACACGGCCCAUACUUCUACGGGAGGCAGCAGUGGGGAAUAUUGCACAAUGGGGGAAACCCUGAUGCAGCCAUGCCGCGUGUGUGAAGAAGGCCUUCGGGUUGUAAAGCACUUUCAGUUGUGAGGAAAAGUUAGUAGUUAAUACCUGCUAGCCGUGACGUUAACAACAGAAGAAGCACCGGCUAACUCCGUGCCAGCAGCCG